rfam:Triticum aestivum genome assembly, contig: Triticum_aestivum_CS42_TGACv1_scaffold_197655_3AL
UUUAUACUCCCUCCGUCCGGAAUUAGUUGUCGUGGAAAUGGAUAAAAAUGGAUGUAUCUAGAACUAAAAUACAUCUAGAUCCAUCCAUUUCUCCGACAAGUAUUUCCAUACGGAGGGAGUAUAUC